rnacentral:lncRNA from 1 species
GACCUCUGCAGUUGUUGAUUUGUGUCUCUUGUAGGAGAAAAGUUGGUGAUUGGCUUCACUACUCGAGUUACACUCAACAGGCUCCUUGAAGCAGGAGCCAUUACACCGCAGCAAGUGCAGAGGUUCCAGAAGGCAGCAGUGGCGUUUCUGGAAAGGGCUGUGGAGUAUGCCAUCAAGAAACUCCCCAUGAAAGAGCCUCUGAUUAAACAUGCCAUGUUUCUGGAUGUCCAGCAGAGAGCAGAGUGUGGAGUGGAAGAUGCCUUCUACUUUGUCGACAGGUAAGUUGGGCUAUCAAGUAAAGUACAUUUUAUCUAUAGUGCCAAAUCCUAACACAAGUUAUCUCAAUAUGCUUUGCAAGUAGAGCAGGCUUAAGACCAGGCACAUUUUCUUGUUUGAUCCACAUCUGAAAAACAACCCCUGUUUCAGUUACACUACUUUACCAGAUCACUGCACAUUUUUUUUCUUUUUAGAUUUCCUGAACUUCUCCCAUACAAUGGACCUGAAGAGCGUGACAAACUUUGUGAGGAGUUUCUGGACUACCAGACCAUGGACAUUGCCAUGCCCGACGACCCAGCAAUGUUUGACUUUGAGAGAUUUUGGGGGAACAUGGCAUCAAUGAAGAACAAGGUGACCGGUAUGAGCAGAUUUGGCAGGCUGUCUUGUAUUGCCAAGUUGGUCUUGGUCAUGCCUCACUCCAAUGCUGAUGCAGAGCGAGUUUUCUCUGUGGUUGGACUAAAUAAGACCAAGACCCGAAACAGUUUGGCUCUUGAGGGAACUCUGUCAUCCAUCAUGACCGUGAAGAUGGCGAGCCUUGAGCCAGACUGUUUUAAGUGGGAGCCCCCUGCCUCUGUCAUCAAGGCAUCAAAAUCUGCCACCAACACCUACAACGUUAGACAUGCUAAAUGAUUGACAAAUAAAUGUAUUUUGUCAAAAUUCUUGUCUUGUUAAUUUCUGGUUAAGAGAGGUUAGGAGGCCACAGUGCAGAGAGCAGCUGGCAUGGAGGUGAGGACAUCAGUCCUAAGGUAUAAAUCAAUGUUAAAAAAGGCCAAUUUUUUUGGUCGGCGGCCGAACGCUUCUGACUCUAAAGUCUCACUCUUGUCAUUUUCUGAAACUUGGCAGCCCUGCUGUAACGUUACCUUACUUAUAUUGCCUAUUACUUUAAUGAAAAUAGUUUUAAGGGCCCUUGUAUUUUUAACAUUUGUAUCGUUAAAUACUCGAGUGACUAGAAACCCAAUACUUACAUUUAAAUGCAGAACUUAAAUCGCCAUUCUCCGCCAUCUCCAUUGAUUGAAUGCGCAAUGAAUCUUGGGAGGGAUACGUUGGGCCGUGAAGGAUCUUGGGAUACGUUGGGCCGCGAAGGAUACAGCCGAUGCAUCCUUAAAAUCCGGGAAAAGAAGGCUGCAUUCGUAGGCCGCAUUUGAAGGACCCUUGGAAUUGGGACAGCACUUGGCGCGUCGCUGUGACGCAAUCGGCGUCGACGCAUCCUUCGAAUGCAGCCUUCGAAGGAUGCGUCCCCUGAAUUGGGACACAGCCAUUCUCUGAUGGAAUGCACGCAUUGCAUGGUUCUCAGCUGAGUCAGUCAGACUCAGUGCUACCGGAAACUCGACUGAACUGGUUCAGUCGAGUUUCCGGUGAAUUGAAUGGUGAAUCGAAUCAUGGUCAUGGAAUGUGUUUGUGCACGGUUCUGCUGACUCUGAGUCAAUCAGACUCAGACUCUCAAAGGAUCGUGGAACUUAAGUCGGUCAUCAGCUGCUGACUUUAUCCUGAAAGGUGAGUCAAUAUCGUUAAUUGUAUAUAUUAAAAAAAUACCCGAGAUAAACGAACAAUGUGUAACCCUAACCCUAAAAUGUAAACACCAGGCUACUCGACAAGAAAAUGUAACGAACCACCUGAGGCUUUACUUUACCUCAGAGAUAAUGC